GAUGAACGCUGGCGGCGUGCCUAACACAUGCAAGUCGAACGGAGAUGCGAUGUGAGCGAGAGGUGCUUGCACUGAUUAAUCUUUUCGUAUCUUAGUGGCGGACGGGUGAGUAACGCGUGGGUAACCUGCCUUAUACCGGGGGAUAACACUUAGAAAUAGGUGCUAAUACCGCAUAAGCGCACGGUGUCGCAUGACACAGUGUGAAAAACUCCGGUGGUAUAAGAUGGACCCGCGUCUGAUUAGCCAGUUGGCAGGGUAACGGCCUACCAAAGCGACGAUCAGUAGCCGGCCUGAGAGGGUGAACGGCCACAUUGGGACUGAGACACGGCCCAAAACUCCUACGGGGAGGCAGCAGUGGGGAAUAUUGCACAAUGGGGGAAACCCUGAUGCAGCGACGCCGCGUGAGUGAAGAAGUAUUUCGGUAUGUAAAGCUCUAUCAGCAGGGAAGAAAAUGACGGUACCUGACUAAGAAGCCCCGGCUAACUACGUGCCAG
rnacentral:rRNA from 1 species